CCUACGGGAGGCUGCAGUGGGGAAUAUUGCACAAUGGGGGAAACCCUGAUGCAGCGACGCCGCGUGAGUGAAGAAGGAAUUAGUUAUUUAAAGCUCUAUUAGCAGGGAAGAAAAUGACGGUACCUGAGUAAGAAGCCCCGGCUAACUACGUGCCAGCAGCCGCGGUAAUACGUAGGGGGCAAGCGUUAUCCGGAUUUACUGGGUGUAAAGGGAGCGUAGACGGCAGUGCAAGUCUGGAGUGAAAGGCGUGGGCUCAACCCCCGGACUGCUCUGGAAACUGUACGGCUGGAGUGCAGGAGAGGUAAGUGGAAUUCGUGGUGUAGCGGUGAAAUGCGUAGAUAUUAGGAGGAACACCAGUGGCGAAGGCGGCUUACUGGACCGUAACUGACGUUGAGGCUCGAAAGCGUGGGUAGCAAACAGGAUUAGAUACCCUGGUAGUC
rnacentral:rRNA from 1 species